rnacentral:rRNA from 1 species
GAUGAGCGCUGGCGGCGUGCCUAAUACAUGCAAGUCGAGCGAAUGGAUUAAGAGCUUGCUCUUAUGAAGUUAGCGGCGGACGGGUGAGUAACACGUGGGUAACCUGCCCAUAAGACUGGGAUAACUCCGGGAAACCGGGGCUAAUACCGGAUAAUAUUUUGAACUGCAUGGUUCAAAAUUGAAAGGCGGCUUCGGCUGUCACUUAUGGAUGGAGCCGCGUCGCAUUAGCUAGUUGGUGAGGUAACGGCUCACCAAGGCAACGAUGCGUAGCCGACCUGGGAGGGUGAUCGGCCACACUGGGACUGAGACACGGCCCAGACUCCUACGGGAGGCAGCAGUAGGGAAUCUUCCGCAAUGGACGAAAGUCUGACGGAGCAACGCCGCGUGAGUGAUGAAGGCUUUCGGGUCGUAAAACUCUGUUGUUAGGGAAGAACAAGUGCUAGUUGAAUAAGCUGGCACCUUGGCGGUACCUAACCAGAAAGCCACGGCUAACUACGUGCCAGCAGCCGCGGUAA